rnacentral:rRNA from 1 species
UACAGAGGGGGCAAGCGUUAUUCGGAAUUAUUGGGCGUAAAGGGCGCGUAGGCGGCCUGGCAAGUGGAUGGUGAAAUCCCUCGGCUUAACCGAGGAACUGCCAUCCAGACUGCUUGGCUUGAGACCGGGAGAGGUGAGUGGAAUUCCCAGUGUAGCGGUGAAAUGCGUAGAUAUUGGGAGGAACACCAGUGGCGAAGGCGGCUCACUGGACCGGUACUGACGCUGAUGCGCGAAAGCCAGGGGAGCAAACGGG